GAUAAACGCUGGCGGCGUGCCUUAUGCAUGCAAGUCGAACGGGUCUUACCCGCAAGGGUAAGAUCAGUGGCAGACGGCUGAGUAACACGUAAGCAACUAACCUUCGAGUGGGGAUAAACCGCCGAAAGGCGGCGUAAUACCGCAUGUGCUUGCUCCCUCUAUGGGGAGUAAGGAAAGCCGAAAGGCGCUCUUGGACGGGCUUGCGGCCUAUCAGGUAGUUGGUGAGGUAACGGCCCACCAAGCCGAAGACGGGUAACUGGUCUGAGAGGACGGCCAGUCAGACGGGGACUGAGACACGGCCCCGACUCCUACGGGAGGCAGCAGCAGGGAAUCUUGCACAAUGGGCGAAAGCUUGAUGCAGCGACGCCGCGU
rnacentral:rRNA from 1 species